rnacentral:rRNA from 1 species
GUCUUUUUGAAUAUAAUUUAAAGCUAAUCUGCCCACUGAUAGUAAUUAAAGGGCUGCAGUAUAAUGACUGUACAAAGGUAGCAUAAUCAAUAGUUUUUUAAUUGAAAACUUGUAUGAAAGAUUUGAUGAAAUAUAAACUGUCUCUUAUUUAUUUUUAGAACUUUAUUUUUUAGUUAAAAAGCUAAAUUAAUUUUAAAAGACGAGAAGACCCUAUAGAGUUUUAUAUUUAUUUUUAUUUUAAAACUAUAUAAAAAUUUUUAUUAAAAUAAAAUUAAUUAUUAUAUUGGGGUGAUAGAAAAAUUAAAUUAACUUUUUUUAAAAAUUAAACAUAAAUAAAUGAUUAAAUGAUCCAUUAAUAAUGAUUGUAAGAAAAAAUUACCUUAGG